rnacentral:lncRNA from 10 species
CGGGAUGGCAUCCAUUUGAUUUUCAUUAUUCUGGGACAAAGUUGCUUCCGCCUUCCUUUAAUUAGGAAGUCCUGCAAAGAAUAUCAUGAGUCGCUCUCAAUCCCAACCAGCUGGGUAUUUUAAACACCAAGCACAUUACUCUUCCUCUGGGACAGAUUUCUUUGUAGUCAAUUAGGACUGCCCAUUAAAGUGGCAGAAUAAGCACAGUGCCUGCUGCUAUGAUGUGAUGGGCCGUGGGAAACACUUUUCGCCUAAAAUCACCUCCUGCAAUGGCCUACUUAAGGCAUUUGAUUCACCUAUGUUAACAAGGGGCUUGUACGUCUCUAUCUUUUGCCAUGGGACAAAGUGCCUUCCUGGAGAAGUUGUUUUUCUCCUAUUGACACCAGGAUUGGCCUAAGGACUUGUGUUGGUCAAGGAAAUAGAUGGAGUUUCACCAUGUAGCCCAGGCUGGUCUUGAACUCCUGGGCUCAAACAAACCACCUGCCUCAGCCUACCAAUGUGCUGGGAUUAUAGGAGUGAGCCACCACACCUGGCGUUAUCUGAGCUUCUUAGUAUGUGCUCCAUCCAUGUAUCAUUCAGAGGUGGAACUCACAUUUCUUCCAAUUUAAGCUGCACCUCCUCAGUGAUGUGGCCCCCCUAAUAGUCCUCUACACAGUGACCCCUCCUCCUUUGGAAUCGUUAUUGUCAUUUGGAACCAUAGUAGCUUGUCUCCAAAGAUGGCCUUCCAGUAACUCAUGCUUCCUGAUGAUCAGGCCCUAAAUAGGUUGUCCUUGUGACUUCCAUCUUGACCCAUAGAAUGUGGUGGAAGUAGCAUUGGAUGACGUCCAAGGUUAGUUCAUAAAAAGCCUUGUGGAUUCUUCCUCAGCCUCUAGAAACACUUGCUCUUGGAGCGUAUGCUUUGAGGAAAUCCAAAUGUCAUAUGAGAUGCCUGAGACCACCUAUCUCAGACUAUUGUGGGAGAGACUACUGUGCUGUGAAGAAGUACAAAGUAGCCAUGUGAAGAUACCAUACGGAGAAAGACAGAUGCCUAGGUAGCCCCUAGCUGUGCCAGCCAUCCCAUCAGAAUCACCACACAUAAGAGUAAAGGAAUCAUUGUGGAUGUCCAGCCUAGUCAAGCCUGUAGAUGAUUCCAGUUCCAGUUGCCAUCUGUCAGUAACUGCCUGAGACCCAAGACAAGAACCACCCAGCUUAGCCCAGUAAAUCCACAGAAUCACGUGUUAUCAUGAUAAUAAAUUGUUUUUUUAAGCAACUAAGA